CCUACGGGAGGCAGCAGUAAGGAAUAUUGGUCAAUGGAGGCAACUCUGAACCAGCCAUGCCGCGUGCAGGAAGACAGCCCUCUGGGUCGUAAACUGCUUUUAUUCGGGAAUAAACCUCAGCACGUGUGCUGAGCUGAAUGUACCGAAGGAAUAAGGAUCGGCUAACUCCGUGCCAGCAGCCGCGGUAAU
rnacentral:rRNA from 1 species